GGGGGCGUACCGGCUUCGACGUGGGUAGGGAACUUGAAGUCGCAUGCCGAGGUCCUGUCUGCUCGUAAAACAGGUAGGGAACACACAAAUGCCGACAAUUACGGCUACGCUUUAGCCGCUUAAGGCUAACGCCUGAAGAAUCUAGCCGGAAGGAUUCUUCAGGUGACGGUAUUCCGGCUAGAUCACCUUCGACGCCCGCGCUUUGGUGAUCGAAUUUCAAGUGGGCUAGCUUGUCAGGCAUUCUGCCGGCGGAAGGCCCGACAGGUGAAAUCAAUGCACCGGCUAAGCAUGUAGAAGCUUUUAGGGACUAUUUGCGGACGCGGGUUCGAUUCCCGCCGCCUCCACCA
rfam:Desulfobacca sp. 4484_104 ex4484_104_scaffold_14782, whole genome shotgun sequence.